CGGGUGAGUAACACGUGGAUAACCUACCUAUAAGACUGGGAUAACUUCGGGAAACCGGAGCUAAUACCGGAUAAUAUAUUGAACCGCAUGGUUCAAUGGUGAAAGACGGUUUUGCUGUCACUUAUAGAUGGAUCCGCGCCGCAUUAGCUAGUUGGUAAGGCAACGGCUUACCAAGGCAACGAUGCGUAGCCGACCUGAGAGGGUGAUCGGCCACACUGGAACUGAGACACGGUCCAGACUCCUACGGGAGGCAGCAGAA
rnacentral:rRNA from 1 species